rnacentral:rRNA from 1 species
UACGUAGGAGGCAAGCGUUGUCCGGAAUUACUGGGCGUAAAGCGCGUGUAGGUGGUGGGACAAGUCUGCUGUGAAAGCGCCUGGCUUAACCGGGCGAGGUCGGCGGAAACUGUUCGACUCGAGGACGGUAGAGGGGGGUGGAAUUCCCGGUGUAGUGGUGAAAUGCGUAGAGAUCGGGAGGAACACCUGUGGCGAAGGCGGCCCCC